UCCGAUGCCCUCAGGCUUCUCCGUGGGUCGGUUUCCUGAGGCUUGCCCAUCUACAGGUCAGCUUCCAAGGCCUCCAUCAUCGCAUCUCUUCCUAGCAGCUGCGUUCAGAUGUUAUCUCCCCUGGCCUCUUUCUUCUCCAGCAACUUUCACUUUGGAGAGCCGAAUACGAAGCUUCAGGUUCCUCUGUGGGUUUGUUUCCUGUGGCUGGCCCCUGCACAGACGCCAAGCUCUACCUCCUCCGUGACAUCCCCUGGGUCCUGUCUCCAGGGAGUCCGAUGCCCUCAGGCUCCUCCCCGAGUUCCUUACUCGUGGUUGGCUCCUCCACAGGACAGCUUCUAAGGCUUCACCUCUUCCUCGCAGCAGUGUUCAAAUGCUAUCUCCCUUAGCCUCUUUCUUCUCCCUCUGUGCUCCAGCUGCUCCAUGAUAUCCCCUCAGUUCAGCCUCGAGAGAGUAUGAAGCCUUCAGGCUCCUCGGUGGGACAGUUUCCUGGGCCGUCCUUUCAUGAGCCUCCAAGGUCCAGCAUGUGAGAGCCCCUCAGUCUAGGGUCCAGGGAGUCUGACGCCCUCAGGCUACUCCCUGGGUCUGUUCCCCGAGCCUGGCCACUCUGCAGACUCCGAGCUCCAGCUGCUCCAUGCCUCUGUUGUGACUCCAGGGAGUCCGACAACCUGAGGCUCCUCCCUUGGUGUGUGUCCCGUGGUUGGCCUCUCCACAGAUUAGCUUCCUCCGAGCUGGAGCUGUUCCAUGAUACCCCCUCAGCCUUGCGUCCAGGGACUGCGAAGCUUUCAUGCUCUUACAUUGGUCUGUUUUCCGUGGCCGGGCCCUCCACAUGUGAACUUCUAAGGCCUCCUGUGUCACACCACCUUCUCACGGCUGCGUUCGGAUGCUAUAUGCCAUAGCCUCUUUUUGUCAUGUAGCUUUCACUAUAUUUCAGCUGUAUUUUUUAUCAUAAUUUUAAUGUUGCAGACCUCGAGCUCGAGCUCCUUGAUGGCAGCCCCUCAGUCCUGGCCAGAGCUGAGCGUUUGUCCUCACGAGCCUCGCCCUCACCUCAAUUUUCUGGGAGAAAAAUUUUCCCCACCUCACCUAAAAAAAUUUUGGAAAAAAUUUUCCUCACCUCACCUCAAAAGUUUUUUGAAAAUUUUUCCUGACUUCACCUCAAAAAACGUUUUGAAAUUUUUCCUCACCUCACCUCAAAGGUUUUUUUGAGAAUUUUCCUCACCUCACCUCACCUCAAUUUUUUGUUGAGAAUUUUCCUCACCUCACCUCAAAAUGUUUCUUGAAAAUUUUCCUCACCUCAAACAUCACCAGAAAAAUUGGCCCUCACCUCACCUCAAAUAUCGUGAGGUAACGAUGAGGUGAGGGUGAGGAAACCCUCACCCUCGCAUGCCCUCGUGAGGGUGCCCACCUCUGGUCCUGGCUCCAGGGAGUCGGGUGGCGCCAGUCUUCUCCCUGGCUCUGUUUCCUGUGGGUGGCCCCUCCACAGCCUCCGAGCCUCCAUGAUAUCUCCUGGGUCCUGGCUUCAGGGAAUACAGUGCCUUUAGGCUUCUUGUGUUCAGGCCUCAGGCUCCUGUUUCCCAUUGUUGGCCCCUCUACAGGUAAGCCUCUAAGGCCUCCUUGGUCGCACCUCUUCCUCACAGCUAUGUUAGAAUGCUAUCUCCCAUGCCCUCUUUAUUGCCUUGCAACUUUCAUCUUGCAGAGCUGUACACGUUGUCGUGCUUGGCGCUCGAAAGAACCAUCUAGCUCGUCUGAUAACCAGAACACAAGUGACCUUUAUUCUCAUGCCAAACCACACAGCCAAAAAGCCCCGCAUAUCGAUGGCAUGACUAAUAAUUACACAAGAUACGCUCUGUCAUGCAGAUGGUGCUUAACCAAUCACUACAUCUCUCUUCAAACGGGAUUGAAGUUGCAAAACUAGUCUGGCUUCACAUGUCGGCCAACUCGAGCAUGUGUGGAUCGUGUGUCUCACUCACUCUUGAGGGCACAGACUCUGCCGUGGAAGUCUACUCCGACACUGCUGAAUCUUCUGACUAGGCCAUGUGAUGACCCGGCCUUAAGAGUGUUGAGGUAGUUCAGGCAGAUUCUCCUUGUCGUUGUGAUGAUCCGGGACUCGACAACGUUGUAUACUGCCCAGAGGAAUCACCACUAGACUCCUGGAAGUUUCAGUCUGGAAGGGCAUCGAAUGGUACCAGGUGUCUACAAUUUCACUGAAUGAUGCCUGUCUGAGUCUCGGUAACGUAUGUGUGCGGUGUUUUUGCUGGACUCAAUACUUUUUCUUUGCAGGGGAUGU